rnacentral:sRNA from 1 species
UUGAGUAUCACCAUCACCACCACUCGACUGCAUACUCGAUGACGAGCUUUAGAGCCUUCUUCAUUCCGCACUCAACCAGACACUCGAGCACAAGGAAGAAAAGAAGACUCCAGCUAUUCACUCGACCUCUCACUCGACCACAUGGGUCGAGUACAGUUCUUAACCCGUCCCAAUACUUCAUCGUUUUGAGUAUUAGGGUUUCGGGAUAUUUGGAUAUAAGUAGCAUGUACUUCACAUUUUCGACAAGAAGUUUUUUUUAUCUAGUUUUAUUUCCGCAGACCUUGUGUUCUAGACUUUUUGUAAUCCGGAUUUCUCUUUAUCUAUUCAGUAUUCAGUUUAUGUUCUUGAUUUCGUUUACUGUUGUUCAUUCUGUUAUCAUCCUGCUGUUAUAUUGUUGUUAUCAUGUUUUCAAUUUGUUCAACGUUUAUGCUUUCUAUUAUGAUAUCUGAGUAGUGAAUAGGUUUCUGAGGAUGGGUUAGACUAGUGUAGAAUUCUCAGUAUGCUAGGUGAUUGAGUAUUGGUUGAUAGAUCCCUUCUGGAUUAGUUGUUCUUAAUGCCUAUUGCUUUCUGAUCAACUGGAAUUUGAGCCCAUACAUUUCCGCGCCCAAAAGGUGUUCGAUGAAAUGUCUGAACCACUAAUUCCAGAGAUUCGUGACCCUGUACCAAGGUAUUGGUUGCAGGGAACGUUUUGGCUUUAACUUGUUGAUUCGUAAUGCCUGUUAGGUUAGCUCUCGUCAAUGGUGAUUGAGUCUGGGACUAGGUUAGCUUGAGAGUCUCUGUUGCGGUGGCACUUAGAUUUGGUUAAUGAACUUGUUGUCUAGGGUUAAUUUAUUGAGCAUGUCAAUCACCUGUAAACUAAGGAAACAAAACUACUCAAUUACCCCAUCCUUAGGAAUUCUUUAUCUGAUUGAUUUUAUUGUUUACUCUACUGCUGUGUACUGCAUCCUGUCAUAUGUUGCUUAGUUUAUGCAAUUCUUUACUGUUACUCGACCUGAUACUCGACCACCUAGUUGUCUGGCAACAGACUGUGCAGUCGAGUAUCCCUGUUACAUUAUCUGUCUGUUACUCGACCUGUCACUCGACCACACCCUGUGCUCUGCAACCAGCUGUGUUGGUCGAGUGUUUAUUUGUUUCUGCUUGAUUUUCUGUUUUCUGCAUGUUCACUUAGGACUGCUAGAACGCACCAAAACCUGUUAUUGCUUGGCUUGACUUAGUGACUUCUGAUCACAUCUUGAUUGUUAGCAUCACACCCAUUUGGAUUGACAACCUAAAAUACUACAACGACAUGAUUGGUGUUUUAGGAUAAUUGACUAAAAGCCUAUUAUCAAUUUGGCGCCGGUGCCAAUUGGGUGUUUGUUUGUUACAUAUGAG